CCUACGGGAGGCAGCAGUGGGGAAUAUUGGACAAUGGGCGAAAGCCUGAUCCAGCAAUGCCGCGUGAGUGAUGAAGGCCUUCGGGUCGUAAAGCUCUUUUACCAGGGAUGAUAAUGACAGUACCUGGAGAAUAAGCUCCGGCUAACUCCGUGCCAGCAGCCGCGGUAAUACGGAGGGAGCUAGCGUUGUUCGGAAUUACUGGGCGUAAAGAGUACGUAGGCGGUUAUUCAAGUCAGAGGUGAAAGCCCGGGGCUCAACCCCGGAACUGCCUUUGAAACUAGAUAACUAGAGUCUUGGAGAGGUUAGUGGAAUUCCGAGUGUAGAGGUGAAAUUCGUAGAUAUUCGGAAGAACACCAGUGGCGAAGGCGACUAACUGGACAAGUACUGACGCUGAGGUACGAAAGCGUGGGGAGCAAACAGGAUUAGAUACCCUGGUAGUCCACGCCGUAAACGAUGAUAACUAGUUGUUCGGUCACUUGGUGACUGAGUGACGCAGCUAACGCAUUAAGUUAUCCGCCUGGGGAGUACGGUCGCAAGAUUAAAACUCAAAUGAAUUGACCGGNNGAGACGNGCGACGACGACGACGAGGAGAG
rnacentral:rRNA from 1 species